GACGAACGCUGGCGGCGUGCUUAACACAUGCAAGUCGAACGGAAAGGCCCUGCUUUUGUGGGGUGCUCGAGUGGCGAACGGGUGAGUAACACGUGAGUAACCUGCCCUUGACUUUGGGAUAACUUCAGGAAACUGGGGCUACUACCGGAUAGGAGCUCCUGCUGCAUGGUGGGGGUUGGAAAGUUUCGGCGGUUGGGGAUGGACUCGCGGCUUAUCAGCUUGUUGGUUGGGUAGUGGCUUACCAAGGCUUUGACGGGUAGCCGGCCUGAGAGGGUGACCGGGCACAUGGGGACUGAGAUACGGCCCAGACUCCUACAGGAGGCAGCAGUGGGGAGUAUUGCACAAUGGGCGGAAGCCUGAUGCAGAAACGCCGCGUGCGGGAUGACGGCCUUCGGGGUGUAAACCGCUUUCGCCUGUGACGAAGCGUGAGUGACGGUAAUGGGUAAAGAAGCACCGGCUAACUACGUG
rnacentral:rRNA from 1 species